GGGUGCUGGGGUGGGCGG
rnacentral:miRNA from 1 species